CAAAGCACAGGAAUAGCAAAAAAUUUCAUGUUCCGAUGACACGUAAGUCUGGAGUGCGAAAGAAACAACCUAAGACAGGCACACACUCUGAGAGACUUGAUGGAGUCUUAAAAAAUAAAAAAGGGGGAAUUGUGGGAGCCCACA